GCCUGCUCAAUGAAAAUUAAAUAGCCGCAGUUCCCUGUGCUAAGGUAGCAUAAUCAUUUGCCUCUUAAUUAGAGACUAGUAUGAAAGGUUAAACAUUUAAUUCCUGUCUCAAAUCACCCAGCCACUAAACUAUUCUAAAUAUUAAAAAAUAUUUAUAUUAAAAAAAGACGACAAGACCCUAUCAAACUUCUACUAAAGUUCAGCUGGGGCAGCUCUGUAAAAAUUCUUUACUGCUACUAUUAUUCUUACUAACCCUAUUAGACCUGCUAACAGCAAUAACCAGAUCAAGUUACUGUAGGGAUAACAGCGCAAUAUUUUUCCAAAGUUCAUAUUUAAAAAAAAGCUUGCGACCUCGAUGUUGAAUUAAUUUAACCUAUCAGGUGCAACCAUCUGACAAGGAGGUCUGUUCGACCUUAAAAAAAUUACG
rnacentral:rRNA from 1 species